UUUUACAUAUUUUUUUUACGUAACCGUAUUUUUACCCUGUUUUAUUUUAGCUUGAAAAAGAACUCAAGGAUUUGAAAGAAAUAAAUAACAAUUUAAAGAAUGAAGUAUUAAAAGACACAAAUAAUAACAACGCUCAAACUAAUCCACAACAGGAGAAAUAUGAAGCACAAAAUGAAAAAAUCAUCAAAUUAGAAGCUGAGCUAUUAAUUGAAAAAAAAAAAUAGUACAAUUAUUGAAGAAACGACUAAAAAUAAAUUAACAAAGGAAUUUAAUGCUGCAUUGCAAAUUUUUAAAGAACAAUUACAAAUUAGGGAAAAGGAAACUGAAUAUUACAAAGAAACAAUGAAAACACAGAUAGAUACUUUUAAAGACGAACAAAAAUUAUUAAGCGAUAUUAUUCACAACUUAGGCCUAAAAUAUAAACAAUUACAAACUUAUAAUCUUUGUUUAAAGAAUGAAAUUACAGGAAUUAAAUUAAGAACCAAAGCUUGUACAAAUUCCGACAACAAAUAAAAUCCCAGUUUUAUACAUAUAUAAUACUCCUUACAAUUAUUUUUUUUCUGUUUUUAAAUUAUUUUAAUUUUUUAAUAAGUCAAAACAUCAACAAAAUAACAUCAUGAAUAAAGUAAAUACUUCAUAUUUGUACA
rnacentral:lncRNA from 1 species